ACACUAUGUUUAGUGGUCAGAGCAUUGGUGCGUAAAGCCAAAGGACCCGGGUUCGAUUCCCGGAAAGAGUG
rnacentral:tRNA from 1 species